CAGAAGUGAAAGCAGAAGUUGAGUUGUACAUUCAGUGUUCACACUUGACCGUUUUAUUUUUAAAAACUGAUCUUUAUUAUUUGCUGAUCUGGAAAUUUACAUGGACCUAAUGAAGAAACCAAGGACAUAUUGAGAACUUGUCUAAAAACCGAACGUCUUAAUCAAAGCAAAUCUUGAGCUGUGGAGCGCAAAGUCACUUCCUUAUUCAACUGUGAGUUGUUGAAGGAAGAUGGCGUUUGUUAAAGAGCUGCUCGUGGAUUCACUGAAGCAGCUGGUAGACGCUGAACUAAAGGAGUUUCACUGGCGCCUAAUGAAUGCACAUAAGCAUAUAUCCAAGUCUGAAAUGGAGAAGGCAGAUAGAUUCGACACAGUAGAUAAGAUGGUGGUGUGUUUUAGAGCAGAAGAAGCUGUGGAGGUCAUGGCAUCCUGAGAAAGAUGAAACAAAAUGAUCUGGCUGAACGGUUGGUGAAAGAACACAAGCAAGCUAAGACUGAGGGCGACGUGAAUAUAUCUGUUGCUACUGGAGAGCUGAAAAGCUUUUUGAAACUCACAAAAAAACAUGAAGAAGAAAGCAGAAUGUAUUUUUGAGGGCAAAAAAGAAAAUGAAGCACAACUCAAGGCUGUUUACACAGAACUGUUCAUCACAGAGGGAGAUAUGGAAGAUGUCAAUCACGAACAUGAGAUUCAACAGAUCGAUGGUGCUU